CGAUGCCUGAGUGUUCGCACUCAAGCAGCGAAGCGGUAGUGCAGACAAAGAGAUCAGAAAAGACGAAGUCUUUUCUGUGAAGCCGGGGCGUGAGCCAUCCGGUGGAGAGAUCACCAGCGAGAAUGAUGACAUGAGUAGCGAUAAACAGGGUGAGAGACCCUGUCGCCGAAAGUCCAAGGGUUCCUGCUUAAAGUUAAUCUGAGCAGGGUAAGCCGACCCCUAAGGCGAGGCCGAAAGGCGUAGUCGAUGGGAACCAGGUUAAUAUUCCUGGGCCAGAUGGAAGUGACGGAUCGCGGACGUUGUUCACCCUUAUUGGAUUGGGUGGGCAGCCAGGCGGUCCCUGGAAAUAGCUCCAUCAUGAGAUCGUACCCUAAACCGACACAGGUGGACUGGUAGAGAAUACCAAGGCGCUUGAGAGAACGAUGUUGAAGGAACUCGGCAAAAUACCUCCGUAAGUUCGCGAGAAGGAGGCCCGGUUCGCACGCAAGUGUGGGCCGGGGGCACAAACCAGGGGGUGGCGACUGUUUACUAAAAACACAGGGCUCUGCGAAGUCGCAAGACGACGUAUAGGGUCUGACGCCUGCCCGGUGCCGGAAGGUUAAAAGGAGAGGUGCAAGCCUUGAAUUGAAGCCCCGGUAAACGGCGGCCGUAACUAUAACGGUCCUAAGGUAGCGAAAUUCCUUGUCGGGUAAGUUCCGACCUGCACGAAUGGCGUAACGACUUCCCCGCUGUCUCCAACAUCGACUCAGCGAAAUUGAAUUGCCGGUCAAGAUGCCGGCUUCCCGCGGUUAGACGGAAAGACCCCAUGCACCUUUACUACAGCUUCACACUGGCAUCAGGACUGCGAUGUGCAGGAUAGGUGGUAGGCUUUGAAGCGGGAACGCCAGUUCCCGUGGAGCCUUCCUUGAGAUACCACCCUUCGCACUCUUGAUGUCUAACCGCGGACCGUCAUCCGGUUCCGGGACCCUGUGUGGCGGGUAGUUUGACUGGGGCGGUCGCCUCCCAAACAGUAACGGAGGCGCGCGAAGGUUGGCUCAGAACGGUCGGAAAUCGUUCGUCGAGUGCAAUGGCAUAAGCCAGCCUGACUGCAAGACUGACAAGUCGAGCAGAGUCGAAAGACGGCCAUAGUGAUCCGGUGGUCCCGAGUGGAAGGGCCAUCGCUCAACGGAUAAAAGGUACGCUGGGGAUAACAGGCUGAUACUGCCCAAGAGUCCAUAUCGACGGCAGUGUUUGGCACCUCGAUGUCGGCUCAUCUCAUCCUGGGGCUGGAGCAGGUCCCAAGGGUAUGGCUGUUCGCCAUUUAAAGAGGUACGUGAGCUGGGUUUAGAACGUCGUGAGACAGUUCGGUCCCUAUCUUCCGUGGGUGUAGGAUACUUGAGAGGAGUUGCCCCUAGUACGAGAGGACCGGGGUGAACGAUCCACUGGUGGACCUGUUGUCGUGCCAACGGCAGUGCAGGGUAGCUAUGAUCGGACAGGAUAACCGCUGAAGGCAUCUAAGCGGGAAGCCCCCCUCAAAACAAGGUAUCCCCGAGGACCGUGGUAGACCACCACGUCGAUAGGUCGGAGAUGUAAGCGCAGCAAUGCGUUCAGUUGACCGAUACUAAUGGUCCGAUAGGCUUGAUCCG
rnacentral:rRNA from 1 species